UGAAGGCUGAGCUGUGAUGGGGAAGCUCCUUAUGGAGCGAAGUCUUUGAUUCCCCGCUGCCAAGAAAAGCUUCUAGCGAGAUAAAAGGUGCCUGUACCGCAAACCGACACAGGUAGGCGAGGAGAGAAUCCUAAGGUGUGCGAGAGAACUCUGGUUAAGGAACUCGGCAAAAUGACCCCGUAACUUCGGGAGAAGGGGUGCUUUCUUAACGGAAAGCCGCAGUGAAUAGGCCCAAGCGACUGUUUAGCAAAAACACAGCUCUCUGCGAAGCCGUAAGGCGAAGUAUAGGGGGUGACACCUGCCCGGUGCUGGAAGGUUAAGGAGAGGGGUUAGCGUAAGCGAAGCUCUGAACUGAAGCCCCAGUAAACGGCGGCCGUAACUAUAACGGUCCUAAGGUAGCGAAAUUCCUUGUCGGGUAAGUUCCGACCCGCACGAAAGGUGUAACGAUUUGGGCACUGUCUCAACCAGAGACUCGGUGAAAUUAUAGUACCUGUGAAGAUGCAGGUUACCCGCGACAGGACGGAAAGACCCCGUGGAGCUUUACUGUAGCCUGAUAUUGAAUUUUGGUACAGUUUGUACAGGAUAGGCGGGAGCCUUUGAAACCGGAGCGCUAGCUUCGGUGGAGGCGCUGGUGGGAUACCGCCCUGACUGUAUUGAAAUUCUAACCUACGGGUCUUAUCGACCCGGGAGACAGUGUCAGGUGGGCAGUUUGACUGGGGCGGUCGCCUCCUAAAGUGUAACGGAGGCGCCCAAAGGUUCCCUCAGAAUGGUUGGAAAUCAUUCGUAGAGUGCAAAGGCAUAAGGGAGCUUGACUGCGAGACCUACAAGUCGAGCAGGGACGAAAGUCGGGCUUAGUGAUCCGGUGGUUCCGCAUGGAAGGGCCAUCGCUCAACGGAUAAAAGCUACCCCGGGGAUAACAGGCUUAUCUCCCCCAAGAGUCCACAUCGACGGGGAGGUUUGGCACCUCGAUGUCGGCUCAUCGCAUCCUGGGGCUGUAGUCGGUCCCAAGGGUUGGGCUGUUCGCCCAUUAAAGCGGUACGCGAGCUGGGUUCAGAACGUCGUGAGACAGUUCGGUCCCUAUCCGUCGUGGGCGUAGGAAAUUUGAGAGGAGCUGUCCUUAGUACGAGAGGACCGGGAUGGACGCACCGCUGGUGUACCAGUUGUUCUGCCAAGGGCAUAGCUGGGUAGCUAUGUGCGGAAGGGAUAAGUGCUGAAAGCAUCUAAGCAUGAAGCCCCCCUCAAGAUGAGAUUUCCCAUAGCGUAAGCUAGUAAGAUCCCUGAAAGAUGAUCAGGUUGAUAGGUUCGAGGUGGAAGCAUGGUGACAUGUGGAGCUGACGAAUACUAAUAGAUCGAGGACUUAACCAUAUAA
rnacentral:rRNA from 1 species